GAAAGUGCUGUACAAAUUGAUCUCUAGGAAGCUUUUGAGUAUCCUCUUGAUGAAUCUAUAAAUUUGGUAUCACUCUACUCACUCUAUAUAGUAUUAGAUACACGAAAAUGAUUUUCUCUUCUUUUAUGUGAAUCAUAAAUCUCUAAAAGUCUUUGAAUGAGACUAGUGAGGGCAACAUCUUGAGUUCUAAAAGUCUUUGAAUGAGACUAGUGAGGGCCCA
rnacentral:lncRNA from 1 species